rnacentral:lncRNA from 1 species
UGUGUGUGACGUGUCCCAGGUGUGCUCCAGGUGUGUCCAGGUGUGUCCCCCACCUGUCCUCCCCCAUCCCCACCUGUCCCCGUGUCCCCCCCAGGCUGCUCCGUUGUCCCCUACGGCUCCUCCGUCAACGGCUUCGACGUCCACGGCUGCGACCUCGACCUGCACCUGGAGCUGGGGGGCCAGGACGGGGACCCCCAAAACCGGGAGACCCCAAAUGGGGACCCCCAGAGGCAGGGGACCCUGCUGGGGGAUGGGGACCCCCCUCCCAAUGGGUCCCGUUUGGGGGACAAGGACCCCCCCAUAAAGGGGUCCCUUUUGGGGUCUGGGGGGUCCCUUUUGGGGGACAGGGUGAACCCCCCUUCCAGGGAGUCCCUUUUGGGGUCCGGGGGGUCCCUUUUGGGGGACAACGGGUCCGUUUUGGGGGACAACGGGUCCCAUUUGGGGUCCAGGGGGUCCGUUUUGGGGUCUGAGGGGUGCAUUUUGGGGUCCGAGGGGUGCAUUUUGGGGGAUAGAGGGUCUGUUUUGGGGUCUGAGGUGUCCCAUUUGGGGUCCGAGGGGUCCCUUUUGGGGUCCGAGGGGUCUCUUUUGGGGUCCCAUUUGGGGUCCGAGGGGUCUCUUUUGGGGUCCCAUUUGGGGUCCGAGGGGUCCCAUUUGGGGUCUGAGGGGUCCCUUUUGGGGGACAGAGACCCCUCCCUGGACGGGUCCCUUUCAGGGGACGAGGCCGCUCCUCCCUCGGGCUCCGACUCCGAGGGUUCCCUGUCGGGGGGUGAAUCCCCCGAGCCCGGGGGGUCCCUUUUGGGGUGCGGGGGGUCCCUUUUGGGGCGCGGGGCCCCCCCCGAGCAGCUGCUGGCUCUGGUGG